CGGUAACGUUAUUUCUUCGCGGGUCUCCUUUUGCUAAGAGCAGCUUGUGAAGCAGUGCUGAGCCCUGCUAACUCUGUCACGAAUCGGUAUAAGGUUCACUAGCAGCAAGACACGACAGGAGGAUCCCGUGGGCCUUGUGUCCCACAGACCAUGCGUUUUUUGAAGCCACCCCCGCCUGCUCACACACCCUCUCUUCUCAGAAGUGGCUAGGAGCGACGACCGCUCGAGUGCGUUAACCGAACUCAAGGCCAUCUCAGGCUUGGCAGCCGCAGUUACGAUUCUGCUCCUUAACGACACCUAGCGACGGCUGUGGUAACUAAUGCCACUGGUGAGGCGUCGGCAGCGCCGACACUACCGCGCUCGCGCGGAGGUAACGACAACCUCUCUCCCCUCCUUAUGUCUCAGGCCGCUAGGUGGCACCACUGGUUACUCCAUUAACCCCCUAGCUUGACACUCUCGUCGGUCACUAGUCGAUUUAUUAGUACUUCCUCUCGCCACCAAAAGAUAGCGCCUCAGUCGCGCAGUCACUCCAGUAAGAUCUAAUUUUUUUAUGCCGGACACCUUCGGGUGGACUCGGUAAUUUUCGGCUCAGAGCCUAACCCCCCUCCCAUUCUCUAGAGACCCCGCGCUUAUGAUAUCCUGGUGAGAUCCCGCUCUGAACUUACUUCGGUGCGCGCCUCCUGACUGACUGGUACCGUUUGUAUCUGCGAUCUUCUGCGAAUCAUCGACAUCGUAUAUUAUGUAGUCUUCUCAGACUAAAGGGAUGGAGUCCCUAGCUAAAAUUAUUAACCAGUCAGUAGUUUAGUUGAAAGUAGAGAAACUUAGUAUUUUUAUAUUAAUAAUUUUUUUAAUUAAUCAUGAUGACUUCCGUGGCUACCGCGAAUCGUGGUUCGAGUUUGCGGAGACGAGACGCCCUCUCCUGAGCGCCAGGACCAACACCCUGUUUUGACAGGGUUCCAAGUUUGGGGCAACCAAAAUCCUCUGCCAGAACCUCUGGAGUCGGUUCCUGCGCAGUAUCCAACAUCAUUAGGCCUACUACCUUGAUCACCGUCUACCUACAGCCCCGGGUGAUACCCGCAUAAUUCUAUCUUUUUAUUCACGAACCCAAGAUUAGUGUAACCCAGUUAAGACAGCGGACAGUAAAAGGCAGUUCGAGGAGAAGAAAUUUAUAUUAUGUUUUGGAAGGACUAUAUGUACAAACUUUAUAGUUACUAAUGUUAAUUUCAUUCUUGUUUUUAAAUAUUUUAAUUUUUGUUAUACAUUAAGGGCCGGCUCUAUCGUAAAUAACGUUAAGGAAUAUCAUAUAAUAAGUGUAAUUGUGAGUUAUGUAAAUAAGAUCACUUAUCAAUGAAAAACAGUCUUUACUAAGGAAAAUUUAAUCUAUAAAAAAAAAGAACAAUGAUUAAUAAAAUAAGGAAGUCUAUAGACGUAACAGUUGUUUUUAUUUAUUUAAUAUAUAAUAACGAUCCUUUUACUCCCAAGUAUUUGUAGGGAGUCCCUAAAUUUUCUUUGUUUACUUCUAGUGUCGCCUCUGUUGUUGACUUUUAUAGUUAUUAAUUGAGGGCCUCAGUAAUCAAAGCUUCCAAAUCUUUUAACCUUAUUAUUUAAUUAUUCUUUAAGACACUAGGGGUAUUACAAAAUGGUAGCAGAGCGUGGUUACGUCUAUAGGCAUACCUAAUUUGAAAGGUCAUACCUAAAAUUAAAAUUAAAAAAAAAAAAUUGGAAAAAAAAUAUUUUUUUUAUAUUUUUUUUGUCACUUAGAAUCUUGUGGUAGUAAGUAAUUUGGGAACUGUCCGCUGAUACACGUAGUAGCUAAAUUGAACCUUGAAUUUUAAAAUUAUCAUAAGUUUUGCUGCACUUCAGUCUCUGUGUUUACAUCUGGGCGCGAGCCGAGAGGCAGCUGGCUCCCCACCCACGCGACUCAGCCCGCGCGCGUGGCUUAUCAACAGAGACGUGUCCGCUGGACAAGAUACUCCCUCCCCCCACACCCCUAGUUAAAGGCGCUGCGCGCCAAGGUCAGUCCUGCCGGCUGACGUGACGUUCAUUGUAGGUACCCCGUUGUGCAAGCUAACCUGACAGCUUGUUACACCCGAGUACACUAUUCAUUUCCCGACGCGCGUAAUAAUAAUAAUAAUAAAUUAUGAAGGCACAUACUUCCCACGCAAAAAAGCAAUUGUUUUAAUCAUAAGCUAUAUUUAAGUGUAUCUUCAUUUUUUGAGCAUAUAAUGUUUAAAUGCUGUGUUAUAUAUAUAUAUCUAUACAUAAUUAUAUUUAACAUUUUAAGAAAAACCUCAUGCGUAGUUUCAUAACAUUUAAAAGGGGUAUAGACAGUAAUUUAUAAACCUUCUAAUUUUAAUACUACUUUACGCCGAUCAUUUAAUAUUAGAAUUAAUGUAAGCAUAGUUACGCUAUUUACUAGUGUACCAAGUAGGCUUUACUAGACAUUAUUCAUAACAUAUAAAGAUUUAAAAUUUACGAGAAGUUUAUCUUGCAAAUUUAUCUAAGGUCAGAGACAAUUUUAAUGACUAUAAUAAGAAAUAUAAAUUUAUCGUAUUCUAUACAUACAGGUUCACAGUCAAUUUAAUUUUAAAAGUAAUGUAUGCAUUGAUGCUAUUGAUUAUUGUUUAUUACUUUUCCAAGAUUUGCAUCCAUCCAUGUGCCUAGCUUUUGUUUAGAUUUAUUUCCUGAGUACCCAAUGAAAGGUGUAUUCAUUUUAGCCUUCGACGAAAGGUUCCUAAAUUAAGUUAUUAUGGUGUAGGUUAAUUAACCGUUUUUUUUAUAAGCUAGUACGGAGGAUAUGAUUGCCUAGGAUUUUAAGUAAGUCCAUUUAUUUACAUUGACUAUUUUAACCAGUAACUGAACUGCAUAUUCAUAGUUUCUCAGACUGUAUUGAGUGUUAACUAAUUUUGUAUUAUUGUUUCAAUAAGAUUUCUAAUUUGUUUUAUUUUCAUUAAGAAUUAAUUUUUUUUUUCACUGUACAGCUACGCAAACAAUUUGAGCACAGUAGCUGAUACAUUUGUGCAUCUAGAUAUUUAAAGUUUUUUUUAAUUCUCUUAAUUGUCUUGCUCACUCACUCCAAAAUUAGUAGCUAUUUUACAUCAUUAUGAUAAUAUUAUUAUACUUGGUUUUGCAACUGUGACUUCCAAGGUGGCAUUAAGGUUUAGUUUUUGUGUAUUUCUAAAGUCGAACUAGGUCACGCUCGCCACAGUGCAGCACUAUAUUCAGCCGUUAAAUCGCGAGAGGUCCUCUGAGCCAAUGAGCCAAGACCUGGUCCUCUGAGUGAAAUAUCUCAUGACCGUUUUCGAGUGUUCUUUGGGUUCCAUUCCCACCACUCAUCUUUGGACGGCCUAUGUUCAAACCCCCUCUCAGGCAGUGUGAACUUUUGUGCCCGCCAUGGAAGAUCCGACGGCGAAAUUAAUUAAGUUAAAUUUACUUAUGUUUAUUACGAUUAUAAUAUUGGAUGUUACGAUUUUAUAUUUAUAUUAAUUAAAUUUGAGUGCGAGGAUUAAUAUUAAUUAUUAUUUUAUUAUGACUACAAUUAAUAACUGGAGAACUGAACUUUUAAAAUAUAGUUUAUCAAAUAAAAUAUUUUUCAGAAUCUAAAUAUUAUAGUUUUUACACAGCCUGUAUUUGUUUUAAUCUGUUUUCUAAAUUCAUCUAAAUUGGUUGAUCUUUCGGGCUUCGAACCCGAUCUAACUCAGGGUGAAAUUCCCUCGUAGGUAUCUUUGCUUCAGCCUGUUGGUCUGAUCAACCAUCAGAGCUUGAACAUAUUGAUCCUAUGUAAGUUAACAAAUGUAGUUUUCGGGACUGAGGUGUACUUAGCUUUUUGAGCAAGUAUAAAAUUAUAUAAUUUAGUUUGAUCCAUCGUCAGAGUGUGCCGGGCUUGGACCCAUGCCUUCGACUUCUUAUGGACAAACGAAUAUGUACAGGGGUUUUCAUUCCCAUUUAGUUUGUAAGUUACGGGUCACCAUACCCAUAUACAGGGGUUCCAAUCCCCAUAUGUAGCUGAGUGCUCAAGGACGCAUUUCCCUUGUUUUGGCCUCAGUAAUUUCGGCUUUCCCUCACAGUGCCCACUUGUGAAGCUACAUGAUGUCCAACAUCUGAGAUCGACGUAAUUCAAUAUUUACUUUAUUAACUAAUUAUGUGAGAUCAUUAUAUAUAAUUUUAGAUUUAUCAUAUGCUAAAUAUUAAAAAAAAAGUCUAUUUUGAGUCUCUUGACCUAACAAUAUUUUUUAACUUACUUUAAUAAUAUUACACCCAAAAUAAUUAUCUAUAAUUAUUUAUUUUCUUUAAGAAUAGGUGUUUUUCAAAUAAUUUAGUUUAAAGUGACCCCACUAGUAAUUGAGAUUAUCUGUAAGGUAUUACCACCUACAUUAACAAAAACGUUUAUUCAUUUGCCUCUAUCUCGACCCGACUACCUCUCUUAACUCAACGCGACUGCAGGUGCCGACGCGCCACAGCCGUGCGUCAAAUGUUAGUAGUAGGAUACAGGCGAACCUGGUAACUCGUCCUACUGAAGUUUUUGGUUUCUUGUUUUUGCUUUCCCCUAAGCUCCGCUUUAACGCGGGGGAGUAUGUGCCGUGUAUUAAGUAUUUAGGCACGUUUUAUUUAAAAAAUUUUGUAAUCUUAAAUAUUUUUGGAAAUAUUUUUUUUUCUCUCAUCUUAUUUUCUUUACGGCCAGGCCCUCAGCCUCUGUUCUCAGAGGCGAGCUGUUUUUCUUUCCCAGCCUCAUGCUAGGCUAGCAUUCUGGCUAAUAUUUCUCCCUUCUCCAGGCACGUCGGGGCCGGUAACGUUAUUUCUUCGCGGGUCUCCUUUUGCUAAGAGCAGCUUGUGAAGCAGUGCUGAGCCCUGCUAACUCUGUCACGAAUCGGUAUAAGGUUCACUAGCAGCAAGACACGACAGGAGGAUCCCGUGGGCCUUGUGUCCCACAGACCAUGCGUUUUUUGAAGCCACCCCCGCCUGCUCACACACCCUCUCUUCUCAGAAGUGGCUAGGAGCGACGACCGCUCGAGUGCGUUAACCGAACUCAAGGCCAUCUCAGGCUUGGCAGCCGCAGUUACGAUUCUGCUCCUUAACGACACCUAGCGACGGCUGUGGUAACUAAUGCCACUGGUGAGGCGUCGGCAGCGCCGACACUACCGCGCUCGCGCGGAGGUAACGACAACCUCUCUCCCCUCCUUAUGUCUCAGGCCGCUAGGUGGCACCACUGGUUACUCCAUUAACCCCCUAGCUUGACACUCUCGUCGGUCACUAGUCGAUUUAUUAGUACUUCCUCUCGCCACCAAAAGAUAGCGCCUCAGUCGCGCAGUCACUCCAGUAAGAUCUAAUUUUUUUAUGCCGGACACCUUCGGGUGGACUCGGUAAUUUUCGGCUCAGAGCCUAACCCCCCUCCCAUUCUCUAGAGACCCCGCGCUUAUGAUAUCCUGGUGAGAUCCCGCUCUGAACUUACUUCGGUGCGCGCCUCCUGACUGACUGGUACCGUUUGUAUCUGCGAUCUUCUGCGAAUCAUCGACAUCGUAUAUUAUGUAGUCUUCUCAGACUAAAGGGAUGGAGUCCCUAGCUAAAAUUAUUAACCAGUCAGUAGUUUAGUUGAAAGUAGAGAAACUUAGUAUUUUUAUAUUAAUAAUUUUUUAAAUUAAUCAUGAUGACUUCCGUGGCUACCGCGAAUCGUGGUUCGAGUUUGCGGAGACGAGACGCCCUCUCCUGAGCGCCAGGACCAACACCCUGUUUUGACAGGGUUCCAAGUUUGGGGCAACCAAAAUCCUCUGCCAGAACCUCUGGAGUCGGUUCCUGCGCAGUAUCCAACAUCAUUAGGCCUACUACCUUGAUCACCGUCUACCUACAGCCCCGGGUGAUACCCGCAUAAUUCUAUCUUUUUAUUCACGAACCCAAGAUUAGUGUAACCCAGUUAAGACAGCGGACAGUAAAAGGCAGUUCGAGGAGAAGAAAUUUAUAUUAUGUUUUGGAAGGACUAUAUGUACAAACUUUAUAGUUACUAAUGUUAAUUUCAUUCUUGUUUUUAAAUAUUUUAAUUUUUGUUAUACAUUAAGGGCCGGCUCUAUCGUAAAUAACGUUAAGGAAUAUCAUAUAAUAAGUGUAAUUGUGAGUUAUGUAAAUAAGAUCACUUAUCAAUGAAAAACAGUCUUUACUAAGGAAAAUUUAAUCUAUAAAAAAAAAGAACAAUGAUUAAUAAAAUAAGGAAGUCUAUAGACGUAACAGUUGUUUUUAUUUAUUUAAUAUAUAAUAACGAUCCUUUUACUCCCAAGUAUUUGUAGGGAGUCCCUAAAUUUUCUUUGUUUACUUCUAGUGUCGCCUCUGUUGUUGACUUUUAUAGUUAUUAAUUGAGGGCCUCAGUAAUCAAAGCUUCCAAAUCUUUUAACCUUAUUAUUUAAUUAUUCUUUAAGACACUAGGGGUAUUACAGGCUUCAGGCAAGCGGGCGGGCGUAACCCGCACUACUUCCGA